rnacentral:lncRNA from 1 species
GGCAGGAGACGGAGGUCAGGACAUUUGAGUUUACAGUAAAACAAUACCUCGGUGUCUAAGAAGAUGCGUUCUCAUUAAAACUAAGAAAAGGGGUUUCUUGGCUGGGAACGAUGGCUCACGCCUGCAAUCCCAACACUUUGGGAGGCCAAAGGAGGAGGAUCACUUGAGACAGGGAAAGAAAGGGAAAAAAAUGAGAAAGAAGAUAAAGGAAAAAAAGAGAAGAAAGAG